GACGACCGCUGGCGGCGCGCUUAACACAUGCAAGUCGAGCGAAGCGGCGGACGGGUGAGUAACACGUGCGUAACCUGCCUUAGACAUUGGGAUAGCCUCGGGAAAACGGGAUUAAUACCAAAUGGUAUAAGAUGGCCUCGCGUCCCAUUAGCUAGUUGGUAGGUAACGGCCCACCAAGGCGACGAUGGGUAGCCGGCCGGAGGGGGUGAACGGCCACAUUGGAACUGAGAAACGGUCCAAACUCUACGGGAGGCAGCAGUGGGGAAUAUGGAACAAUGGAGGGAACUCUGAUGCAGCGACGCCGCGUGAACGAAGAAGGCUUUCGAGUCGUAAAGUUCUUUUAUAUGGGAAGCGGUACCAUAAGAAAAAGCCCCGGCUAACGACGUGCCAGCAGCCGCGGUAAUUC
rnacentral:rRNA from 1 species